CCUACGGGGCGCACCAGUGGGGAAUAUUGCACAAUGGGCGCAAGCCUGGUGCAGCCAUGCCGCGUGUAUGAAGAAGGCCUUAGGGUUGUAAAGUACUUUCAGUUGGGAGGAAGGCGUUGAUGCUAAUAUCAUCAACGAUUGACGUUACCAACAGAAGAAGCACCGGCUAACUCCGUGCCAGCAGCCGCGGUAAUACGGAGGGUGCAAGCGUAACCGGAAUUACUGGGCGUAAAGCGCACGCGGGCGGUUGAUUAAGUUAGAUGUGAAAUCCCCGGGCUUAACCUGGGAAUGGCAUCUAAGACUGGUCAGCUAGAGUCUUGUAGAGGGGGGGUAGAAUUCCAUGUGUAGCGGUGAAAUGCGUAGAGAUGUGGAGGAAUACCGGUGGCGAAGGCGGCCCCCUGGACAAAGACUGACGCUCAGGUGCGAAAGCGUGGGGAGCAAACAGGAUUAGAUACCCCCGUAGUC
rnacentral:rRNA from 1 species